GACGAACGCUGGCGGCGCGCUUAACACAUGCAAGUCGAACGGGGUUAGUUAAUGGAAGUCUUCGGAUGGAGAUUAAUUGACCUAGUGGCGAACGGGUGAGUAACGCGUGAGCAACCGGUCCUAAAGAGGGGGACAACUUUGAGAAAUCAAGGCUAAUACCGCGUAAGACCACACUGCGGCAUCGCAGAGGGGUCAAAGGAGAAAUCCGCUUUAGGGAGGGCUCGCGUCUGAUUAGGUAGUUGGUGAGGUAACGGCUCACCAAGCCGACGAUCAGUAGCCGGACUGAGAGGUUGAACGGCCACAUUGGAACUGAGAUACGGUCCAGACUCCUACGGGAGGCAGCAGUGGGGAAUAUUGGGCAAUGGGCGCAAGCCUGACCCAGCAACGCCGUGUGAAGGAAGAAGGUCUUCGGAUUGUAAACUUUUGUCUUAUGGGACGAUAAUGACGGUACCAUAGGAGGAAGUCACGACUAACUACGUG
rnacentral:rRNA from 1 species